UAUUGGUCGAUGAGGAUAAGAUGAAGGCUUGUUUCUCAAAACAUUCGCAGUGGCCGCC
rnacentral:sRNA from 1 species